rnacentral:rRNA from 1 species
GUAUGUUAUAUGUGUCAUACGAGACUGCCGGUAAAAGCCGGAGGAAGGUGAGGAUGAUGUCAAGUCAGCAUGACCUUUAUAUCCCAGGGCUACACACACGCUACAAUGGUCUAGCACAAUAGGUUGCUAAGCCGCGAGGUGGCGCCAAUCCAUAAAGUUGGUCUCAGUUCAGAUUGCAGGCUGCAACCCGCCUGCAUGAAGAUGGAGUUGCUAGUAACCGCAGGUCAGCUAUACUGCGGUGAAUACGUUCCCGGGGCUU